UGCCAGACACGCAGUUGAAGCCAGACCCAUU
rnacentral:piRNA from 1 species